rnacentral:rRNA from 1 species
GGAUGAACGCUAGCGACAGGCUUAACACAUGCAAGUCGAGGGGCAGCACAGGUAGCAAUACCGGGUGGCGACCGGCGCACGGGUGAGUAACGCGUAUGCAACUUACCUAUCAGAGGGGGAUAACCCGGCGAAAGUCGGACUAAUACCGCAUGAAGCAGGGAUCCCGCAUGGGAAUAUUUGCUAAAGAUUCAUCGCUGAUAGAUAGGCAUGCGUUCCAUUAGGCAGUUGGCGGGGUAACGGCCCACCAAACCGACGAUGGAUAGGGGUUCUGAGAGGAAGGUCCCCCACAUUGGUACUGAGACACGGACCAAACUCCUACGGGAGGCAGCAGUGAGGAAUAUUGGUCAAUGGGCGUAAGCCUGAACCAGCCAAGUCGCGUGAGGGAUGAAGGUUCUAUGGAUCGUAAACCUCUUUUAUAAGGGAAUAAAGUGCGGGACGUGUCCCGUUUUGUAUGUACCUUAUGAAUAAGGAUCGGCUAACUCCGUGCCAGCAGCCGCGGUAAU